rnacentral:rRNA from 1 species
GAUGAACGCUGGCGGCGUGCCUAAUACAUGCAAGUCGAGCGAACGGACGAGAAGCUUGCUUCUCUGAUGUUAGCGGCGGACGGGUGAGUAACACGUGGAUAACCUACCUAUAAGACUGGGAUAACUUCGGGAAACCGGAGCUAAUACCGGAUAAUAUUUUGAACCGCAUGGUUCAAAAGUGAAAGACGGUCUUGCUGUCACUUAUAGAUGGAUCCGCGCUGCAUUAGCUAGUUGGUAAGGUAACGGCUUACCAAGGCAACGAUGCAUAGCCGACCUGAGAGGGUGAUCGGCCACACUGGAACGGAGACACGGUCCAGACUACUAAGGGAGGCAGCAGUAGGGAAUCUUCCGCAAAGGGCGAGAGCCUGACGGAGCAACGCCGCGUGAGUGAUGAAGGUCUUCGGAUCGUAAAACUCUGUUAUUAGGGAAGAACAUAUGUGUAAGUAACUGUGCACAGCUUGACGGUACCUAAUCAGAAAGCCACGGCUAACUACGUG